UGGGGAAUAUUGGACAAUGGGGGAAACCCUGAUCCAGCAAUGCCGCGUGGGUGAAGACGGCCUGCGGGUUGUAAAGCCCUUUCGGUGGGAAAGAAAAGCCAGUGGUUAAUACCCACUAGUAUUGACGUUACCCACAGAAGAAGCACCGGCUAACUCCGUGCCAGCAGCCGCGGUAAUACGGAGGGUGCAAGCGUUAAUCGGAAUCACUGGGCGUAAAGCGCACGUAGGCGGCACGGUCAGUCUGCUGUGAAAGCCCCGGGCUCAACCUGGGAACUGCAGUGGAUACUGCCGCGCUAGAGUGUGAAAGAGGGGGGUGGAAUUCCAGGUGUAGCGGUGAAAUGCGUAGAGAUCUGGAGGAACACCAGUGGCGAAGGCGGCCCCCUGGUUCAACACUGACGCU
rnacentral:rRNA from 1 species